ensembl:snRNA U6 U6 spliceosomal RNA
GUGCUCGCUCUGGCAGCACAUACACUAAAACUGGAACAAUACAGAGAAGAUUAGCAUGGCCCCUGACCAAGGAUGACAUGCAAAUUCCUGAAGCAUUCCAUAUCUUU